CCUAGGGGGCAGCAGUGGGGAAUAUUGGACAAUGGGCGAAAGCCUGAUCCAGCCAUGCCGCGUGUGUGAAGAAGGCCUUCGGGUUGUAAAGCACUUUCAGUGGGGAAGAAAGCCUUGGGGCUAAUACCCUCGAGGAAGGACAUCACCCACAGAAGAAGCACCGGCUAACUCCGUGCCAGCAGCCGCGGUAAUACGGAGGGUGCGAGCGUUAAUCGGAAUUACUGGGCGUAAAGCGCGCGUAGGCGGUCUGAUAAGCCGGUUGUGAAAGCCCCGGGCUCAACCUGGGAACGGCAUCCGGAACUGUCAGGCUAGAGUGCAGGAGAGGAAGGUAGAAUUCCCGGUGUAGCGGUGAAAUGCGUAGAGAUCGGGAGGAAUACCAGUGGCGAAGGCGGCCUUCUGGACUGACACUGACGCUGAGGUGCGAAAGCGUGGGUAGCAAACAGGAUUAGAUACCCUGGUAGUC
rnacentral:rRNA from 1 species